GAUCUCGUGAUGUAGUGGUUAUCACAUCUGUCUAACGCACAGAAGGCCGGCGGUUCGAGCCCGCCCGAGAUCA
rnacentral:tRNA from 1 species